rnacentral:rRNA from 1 species
UUAGUGAUCCGGCGGUUCCGAAUGGAAGGGCCGUCGCUCAACGGAUAAAAGGUACGCCGGGGAUAACAGGCUUAUCGCCCCCGAGAGUUCACAUCGACGGGGCGGUUUGGCACCUCGAUGUCGGCUUAUCGCAUCCUGGGGCUGAAGAAGGUCCCAAGGGUCGGGCUGUUCGCCCGUUAAAGCGGUACAUGAGCUGGGUUUAGAACGUCGUGAGACAGUUCGGUCUGUAUCCGUCGUGGGCGUUGGAGUAUUGAGGGGAGCUGCUCCUAGUACGAGAGGACCGGAGUGGACUGACCACUCGUGUACCGGCUGUUCCGCCAGGGGCAUCGCCGGGUAGCGACGUCGGGAAGGGAUAACCGCUGAAAGCAUCUAAGUGGGAAGCCCCCCCCAAGAUGAGUACUCCCAGGCCCCUUUUGGGGGCCUCUGAAGGGCCGUGCGAGACCAGCACGUUGAUAGGCGGCAGGUGGAAGCGUGGUGACACGUGCAGCCGAGCCGUACUAAUGGCCCGUGAGGCUUGACCAG